UGGAAUAAUAGAAUAGGACAGAGGUUCUAUUUUGUUGGUUUCUAGGACCGCUGUAAUGAUUAAUAGGGAUAGUCGGGGGCGUCCGUAUUCAAUUGUCAGAGGUGAAAUUCUUGGAUUUAUUGAAGACGAACUACUGCGAAAGCAUUCGCCAAGGAUGUUUUCAUUAAUCAGUGAACGAAAGUUAGGGGAUCGAAGACGAUCAGAUACCGUCGUAGUCUUAACCAUAAACUAUGCCGACUAGGGAUCGGACGGUGGUUUUUUUAUGCCCCGUUCGGCACCUUACGAGAAAUCAAAGUUUUUGGGCUCGGGGGGGAGUAUGGUCGCAAGGCUGAAACUUAAAGAAAUUGACGGAAGGGCACCACAAGGCGUGGAGC
rnacentral:rRNA from 1 species